rfam:Heterocephalus glaber contig12891, whole genome shotgun sequence.
GGGGAUGUGGCUCAGUAGUAGAGCUCUUGCCUAAUAUGUACAAGGCCCUGGGUUCAAUACCGAGCACUGCCA